GGAAGAAGCUUCUUGUAAUCAGCUUGUGCGGUGUUGUGAUUUCUCUGGGGUUUCUAUCAGCAGUGUUCCAUGAGGCUACUUCAACUUCACCAGCAGUUGGUAUGGCUGAGACAUCUCGCUUUGCAGCAAAUUUCACUUGUCCUGCUUACCAUGAUGCUGCUUCUGCUAGUUCUUGGGAUUGUACUAGGUGUCUUGAAGCUUCUCCUAGUUGUGGCUUCUGUGCUUCACCUCAAAAUAAGAUUUCAGGUUAUGGCAAAUACUAGGACUAAUUCUAGGAGGGAUGAGGAACACAAUAUAGAGACAUAUGUUACUCUCCAAAUUCCAAACCAAGCUCCUCCUCAAGCUCCAAAUGACCCUCCAGUGGAGAAUGUCACUCUUGCGGAGUUUAGGGCCUAUAUGCAAUUGUUGGCUCAAUCCUUGACGGCGCAAGUCAAUAUGGAUGUUGUGGCUCCGGCAAAUGGCUCCAAGGUGGAGAAAGAUCCUCAAGGUCUGAUAGAUGAGAUGUAUAAGGC
rnacentral:misc_RNA from 1 species